rnacentral:rRNA from 1 species
UACAGAGGGUGCGAGCGUUGUCCGGAAUCACUGGGCGUAAAGGGCGCGUAGGUGGCGGCCCAAGUCCAUGGUGAAAGCUCGUCGCUCAACGACGAGUCGGCCACGGAUACUGGGUUGCUCGAGCACUGUAGAGGCAGAUGGAAUUCCGGGUGUAGCGGUGGAAUGCGUAGAGAUCCGGAAGAACACCGGUGGCGAAGGCGGUCUGCUGGGCAGUAGCUGACACUGAGGCGCGAAAGCGUGGGGAGCAAACAGG